UACGAAGGGGGCUAGCGUUGUUCGGAAUUACUGGGCGUAAAGCGUAUGCAGGCGAAUCGUUAAGUCGGGGGUGAAAUCCCGAGGCUCAACCUCGGAACUGCCUUCGAUACUGGCGAUCUUGAGUCCGGGAGAGGUGAGUGGAACUCCGAGUGUAGAGGUGAAAUUCGUAGAUAUUCGGAAGAACACCAGUGGCGAAGGCGGCUCACUGGCCCGGUACUGACGCUGAGAUACGAAAGCGUGGGGAGCAAACAGG
rnacentral:rRNA from 1 species